UUAUCUUUUGUUUGAUUCAGACACAAAUAACUGAUUGUAGCUUAAAAGCGACGCCGAAGCGUCGAGGCACGCAUUGCUUCCACUGGUUUGCAAGGUUGAAGGCUCAGAGAGCCAUUCAUUAAUGAUCCCUCCGCAGGUUCACCUACGGAGA
rnacentral:misc_RNA from 1 species